rnacentral:rRNA from 1 species
CACGUAGGGUGCGAGCGUUGUCCGGAAUUAUUGGGCGUAAAGAGCUCGUAGGUGGCGUGUCGCGUCUGCCGUGAAAGCCCAUGGCUUAACUGUGGGUCUGCGGUGGAUACGGGCAGGCUGGAGGCUGGUAGGGGCAAGCGGAAUUCCUGGUGUAGCGGUGAAAUGCGCAGAUAUCAGGAGGAACACCGGUGGCGAAGGCGGCUUGCUGGGCCAGUUCUGACGCUGAGGAGCGAAAGCGUGGGGAGCGAACAGG